AAAAUUUAAAUUGAUAUGAAUUGAAAUGCUCUGUUUAAAAUAUUUAAAGAGUGAUUAAUAAACACAAAUGGUAUUGUUUAAGUAUCGUGCAUUAUUUUUCACAUUUCUUUAAUUAUGGAAUCAGAACCGGGAUUCGUAAGGCAGAAUCGGAACCGGAAUCAGAACCGGAAAAUUUCUUUUGAUAACCCAACCCUAGUCUGAACCCACAUGUGUUUUCCCCUCAGUCUGUUAAAAGGUGUCAUUGCUGCCACCUGUGUCUCAUUUCUCCUGUGGUUAUUUCUUCUGUUUCUCAAUUUAGUUGCUUGGUGUUGGGUUGCUUUUAGGCCAGACUUUUUGGGCUAUUAUAAAUUGUGCUGUUUGUUAUGUUGUGGAUGAUUUCAAACCUUUUUGUGAAUUUUUACCUUUUGCUUAGAGAAUCUGUUUCUGUUGAAUUCGUUCUUUGGAUUUUUAACUGACUUUUUUUUUGUCCUUCACACUGUGGAGCUAUUUCUGACUUUCACAAUGCAGACCCAAGUUCGACUCCUCACUCCGGCCACGAUCUGUUCCUAUUGUGUUAUAUUCACAUUCAUUAUGGUAGCUAAGGGUAUUGUUCCCUAUUCGCUUUAUCUGUUAAUCAUUAAAAACUACUGAUGGCUGAUCGUGCUAAUUAUAUUUUCAGUAUGUGUGACAUUUUGUAUUUUCUGUGUCCCAUUCAUAUAUCAGCCAUCAGAUAUAUCAGGUUAAGAAAUGAAUGCUGUAUAAGGCUUUUGUGUAAAUAGGCUGCUACAGAAAUCCUUGUUUGUGACUUAUUAAGACCUAAAAUAAAGGAUGUACGAGUGUGUGCUCGUUGAAUGUGGAGCAUUACACAGUAUUCUGUGCAUGGCAUAAUGAUGAUUAACUGAAACCUGAGAAAGGGGAAGUAUUCAUUCUCCCAUCAGCCCCAAUGCUGCCCUGACCACAGUCUUCUGGUCGUUCUGACAUGCUGAGUGUCUCACACUGGCUCUAACAUGAGAACACUAGUUAUAUGCACAACUGUGUUUUUAUCAACAUCCUGUCAACAAAAUGUUCUCUCUCACAGUGAGCUAGGGGUGUUCAGUGGUUAAGGUGUUGGGCUACUGAUCGGAAGGUCAUGGGUUUGAACCCCAGGUCCACCAAGCUGCCACUGCUGGGCCCCUGAGCAAGGCUUAACCCUCAGUUGCUCAGUUGUAAGUCACUCUGGAUAAGGGUGUUAUCUAAAUGCCGUAAAUGUAAAUGAAUGGACACCCAGGUGAGUUAAACUAGAGGAAAGAGGACCAGUACUUCUAGGUUCACAGGGAGAAGUGGUGAGAGAUUAAAAGAACAGACAGCCAACACAAGUAAAGUGGAGACAAUAAAAAAAAAGAAUGGUGAUCAAUAAACAACAAUGAAAUUACUGAAUAAAUGGAGAAAAAAGAACAAUUAAACUUUUCUUUUUCAAUGAAAGUUUUUCUUAUUAUGAA